rnacentral:rRNA from 1 species
GACGAACGCUGGCGGCGUGCCUAAUACAUGCAAGUUGAGCGAUGAAGAUUGGUGCUUGCACCAAUUUGAAGAGCAGCGAACGGGUGAGUAACGCGUGGGGAAUCUGCCUUUGAGCGGGGGACAACAUUUGGAAACGAAUGCUAAUACCGCAUAACAACUUUAAACAUAAGUUUUAAGUUUGAAAGAUGCAAUUGCAUCACUCAAAGAUGAUCCCGCGUUGUAUUAGCUAGUUGGUGAGGUAAAGGCUCACCAAGGCGAUGAUACAUAGCCGACCUGAGAGGGUGAUCGGCCACAUUGGGACUGAGACACGGCCCAAACUCCUACGGGAGGCAGCAGUAGGGAAUCUUCGGCAAUGGACGAAAGUCUGACCGAGCAACGCCGCGUGAGUGAAGAAGGUUUUCGGAUCGUAAAACUCCGUUGGUAGAGAAGAACGUUGGUGAGAGUGGAAAGCUCAUCAAGUGACGGUAACUACCCAGAAAGGGACGGCUAACUACGUG